AACGUUGGCCCGUAAUCCGGGUUGCGGACAGUGUCUGGUGGGUAGUUUGACUGGGGCGGUCUCCUCCUAAAGAGUAACGGAGGAGCACGAAGGUUGGCUAAUCCUGGUCGGACAUCAGGAGGUUAGUGCAAUGGCAUAAGCCAGCUUGACUGCGAGCGUGACGGCGCGAGCAGGUGCGAAAGCAGGUCAUAGUGAUCCGGUGGUUCUGAAUGGAAGGGCCAUCGCUCAACGGAUAAAAGGUACUCCGGGGAUAACAGGCUGAUACCGCCCAAGAGUUCAUAUCGACGGCGGUGUUUGGCACCUCGAUGUCGGCUCAUCACAUCCUGGGGCUGAAGUAGGUCCCAAGGGUAUGGCUGUUCGCCAUUUAAAGUGGUACGCGAGCUGGGUUUAGAACGUCGUGAGACAGUUCGGUCCCUAUCUGCCGUGGGCGCUGGAGAACUGAGGGGGGCUGCUCCUAGUACGAGAGGACCGGAGUGGACGCAUCACUGGUGUUCGGGUUGUCAUGCCAAUGGCACUGCCCGGUAGCUAAAUGCGGAAGAGAUAAGUGCUGAAAGCAUCUAAGCACGAAACUUGCCCCGAGAUG
rnacentral:rRNA from 1 species